AUUGAACGCUGGCGGCAGACCUAACACAUGCAAGUCGAGCGGCAGCGGGGGAAAGCUUGCUUUCCCGCCGGCGAGCGGCGGACGGGUGAGUAAUGUCUGGGAAACUGCCUGAUGGAGGGGGAUAACUACUGGAAACGGUAGCUAAUACCGCAUAACGUCUUCGGACCAAAGUGGUGGACCUUUGGGCCUCACGCCAUCCGAUGUGCCCAGAUGGGGUUAGUUAGUUGGUGGGGUAAUGGCUCACCAAGGCGACGAUCCCUAGCUGGUCUGAGAGGAUGACCAGCCACACUGGAACUGAGACACGGUCCAGACUCCUACGGGAGGCAGCAGUGGGGAAUAUUGCACAAUGGGCGCAAGCCUGAUGCAGCCAUGCCGCGUGUAUGAAGAAGGCCUUCGGGUUGUAAAGUACUUUCAGCGGGGAGGAAGGUGUUGUGGUUAAUAACCAGAGCAAUUGACGUUACACGCAGAAGAAGCACCGGCUAACUCCGUGCCAGCCGCCGCUGUAAAAC
rnacentral:rRNA from 1 species